rnacentral:tRNA from 1 species
GGGGGUGUAGCUCAGUUGGGAGAGCAUCAGAUUUGCAUUCUGAGGGUCGCAGGUUCGAUCCCUGUCACCUCCACCA